rnacentral:rRNA from 1 species
AACCUCCGCAAUGCGAGAAAUCGCGACGGGGGGACCCCAAGUGCUACUCUUAACGGGGUGGCUUUUCUUAAGUGUAAAAAGCUUUUGGAAUAAGAGCUGGGCAAGACCGGUGCCAGCCGCCGCGGUAACACCGGCAGCUCGAGUGGUAGCUGUUUUUAUUGGGCCUAAAGCGUUCGUAGCCGGUUUGAUAAGUCUUUGGUGAAAGCUUGUAGCUUAACUAUAAGAAUUGCUGGAGAUACUAUCAGACUUGAAGUCGGGAGAGGUUAGAGGUACUACCGGGGUAGGGGUGAAAUCCUAUAAUCCUGGGAGGACCACCUGUGGCGAAGGCGUCUAACUGGAACGAUCUUGACGGUGAGUAACGAAAGCCAGGGGCGCGGACCGGAUUAGAUACCCGGGUAGUCCUGGCCGUAAACGAUGUGGACUUGGUGUUGGAAUGGCUUUGAGUUGUUCCGGUGCCGAAGGGAAGCUGUUAAGUCCACCGCCUGGGAAGUACGGUCGCAAGACUGAAACUUAAAGGAAUU